rnacentral:sRNA from 1 species
UUCAAUAGCUACUCUGGUCCUUCCAUGAA